UUUGACUCUCUCUUCACACCAUUGUGGACUGGGACAUGUCACCUCAUAUGUUCUCAUGAUUCGGGCAAGUCAUCCAAAGAAUGGGCGAUAUAUUUGAGAAAUGGGUGCUCGUCUUGAUAAAUAGGUUGCCAAGGAAUCUCUCACGUGGGCAGCGUACCACCUUGCAUACCUUGAGAAACUUCAAGCGCCCCUAGGAAGAC
rnacentral:lncRNA from 1 species